UGAUUAUUAUUUGUUAUUUAUAAAUUAUGUAUGAUUUAGAGAUAUUUGUUUAAUUUUAUUAUUUAGAGAUAUUUGAUUUAUUGAAUGAAAAAUGUAUUGAGUUCGAGGAUGUCCCAUAUCCGACAAUUAUUACUUUUUGUUUUUAAGUGUUACAUUAUUUCAUUAAGGGAUCAUUAGUUUUCUAUUUGAAAUUGAAUACAUUGAUUAAUACUCCUUUGAUUUAUAGUAUCUUAUACAUUGAUGAUGCAGUUCCUGUAACGAUAUCAGAGAUUUGUAUUAUAUCGAAAGUAUCAUAAACCUUCAUUGUCUAGUCUAAACGUCGCAUGACGAUUACCCCAAACACUUUAGUUUGUAACUACACUAAUAUUGUUAAUUAUAAAUGUAGUAUGUAGUAUCGUAAUAAUAAUGUCAUGUUUGUUUUGUGUGUAGUAACAUGAAAUAUAGUUCCAAGUGAGUAAAACUAAAAUACAUUCUCUUAAAGAUACACUAGCCACAUUGACGGAGGUGGUAUACUUAGGAACCGUUAUAGAAACAAGGUUGAAUUGAAGUUAAAAGAGUUUUGACUGAAACUAUGACUGGAACUGUGCCUUCGUUGUAGCAGCCGCAGCAGGUAUAGAGUGAAAAGUCCUUACUUCCUUUUCUUUCUUUUUCAUCUUCUUCUUUUUCUUCUCCUCCCCUUCACUGAUCACGCUUUCCUCCUCCGCCACCAUGUUGGGGUUUAUUUCUUACAAGGGAGUGUGCUGAUCCUCCGCCGCUGGCGUCCUGAGGUUGUGGGGGAUCGAUACCCCGCAUCUCCAUUCUUACAAUAUUUUGGAAACUUCCCGAUGUUAUGGCAAAUGUGUUCAAAAAGCUUCAAAAGUUAGAUGAUAUCUGUGUGGUGGCCUACUAUAAGUUCUCACGUUUGUUGAACUUGUGCCUUGAUCUCAUAAAAGGACAAAAGGUUGAGUAUUCAGUACCAGCUUCAUCACAUUCAUAUUAACUUUCACACCAUUAUAGUCAUGGCACUUGCACUUAUCAUUCUUGUAAUUUCAAUGUUUUACUUAUGCUCAGAGGCUGCCGAGGGUGAGUUGCAAGGACAAAGCGUGG